UCUUCCACAAUGGGUGCAAACCUGAUGGAGCAAUGCCGCGUGAAUGAAGAAGGUCUUCGGAUCGUAAAGUUCUGUUAUUAGAGAAGAACACUUGAGGUAGUAACUGGCCUUGAGAUGACGGUACUUAACCAGAAAGCCACGGCUAACUACGUGCCAGCAGCCGCGGUAAUACGUAGGUGGCAAGCGUUAUCCGGAAUUAUUGGGCGUAAAGCGCGCGUAGGCGGUAAAAUAAGUCUGAUGUGAAAGCCCCCGGCUCAACCGGGGAGGGUCAUUGGAAACUGUUUUACUUGAGUGCAGAAGAGGAGAGUGGAACUCCAUGUGUAGCGGUGAAAUGCGUAGAUAUAUGGAAGAACACCAGUGGCGAAAGCGGCUCUCUGGUCUGUAACUGACGCUGAGGUUCGAAAGCGUGGGUAGCAA
rnacentral:rRNA from 1 species